GCUUCCCAAGGCUACUUGGCUGCACCAAGAAGAACCCUGGUGGCUUUGUCAGAUUUCCCUUGUCUUCUGUAAGAUCUUUGGGGCAGUGCAGGGCCAUUAUUUUGUCUGUGUUUGGGAAAUUUCCGUUACUGUUUGGGAAAAGGGACUUCUCCCGAGUGAAGGGGAUCUGACUUGAAGCAAGAGAAGAGAAGCAAAACCUCUGUGUCAACACCCCAGAGACCAUCUAGAGACUCAGCUUUACUUAUGAAGACAGGAAAGAAAUGCAAAUAAUUGAGAGUCUGUGGAGCCAACAUGUGUGUGUUCCUGCAGCAACAUUCAGUCCUCAUCCUGCCCAGGGAUGUGCAAAGAACACGCAGAGGUUGGAGUUGCUGCUGUGUGAGAAAGAGACCCAGGUUCUGUGCAAGGUGGUGCUCACAC